rnacentral:rRNA from 1 species
CUAAGCGGAGGAAAAGAAACUAACCAGGAUUCCCCUAGUAACGGCGAGUGAACGGGGAUCAGCCCAGCACCGAAGCCUGCGUUCAUUUGGGCGUAAGGCACUGUGGUGUUAAGGUGGUUGCAUGUUGGUGCCUCUGCUGUCCCAAGUCCAGUAAUGAAUAUGGCUAUAUUAACGGCCCAUAGAGGGUGAAAGGCCCGUGGGGACAGUGUGCCUAUACAGGGGUGCUGACUGCGGCUACUCUGGAGUCGGGUUGUUUGUGAAUGCAGCCCAAAGUGGGUGGUAGACUCCAUCCAAGGCUAAAUACAGGCACGAGUCCGAUAGCGAACAAGUACCGUGAGGGAAAGUUGAAAAGCACUCUGAAGAGAGAGUAAACAGCGCGUGAAACCGCUCAGAGGUAAACGGGUGUAGUCAAGCUGCAAGCCUUUGGGGAUUCAGCCGGUCAGUAUGACGUGAGCAUGAGCACAAUUGUUGGCCUGUGGAGUCCGCCGAGAUAGGCGGGCCCGGUUCUUUCAGGGAAUCGGGUACCUUGUAUGGCGUACUGUCAUUGGUAGCUCUACUUGACCCAGCUGCUGGCCGGCGCACUUUCUCAGGGUGUAAGCCACGACCGCCGUUAGUUUGCCAGUCUGCCAGGGCCAAUUGACCUGGUUGAGCUUUUCAUGGUUCAGCCUGGUUCGGGAUGGCAGGUGGCUUGGUGGAGGUAUUCAUCUCUGCCGAGUGUUACAGCCGGCCCUGGUGGCUUUUAAAACUGUGCAGUGCGGUGGAGUUGUCGACGUGUUGGCAACGGUGAGUGUGCUAUAGCCUGCCGGCGCGUGGCAAGUCUGGUCGCCUGUUGUUGAGUCAAUUCGACCUGGUGGCGGCUUGCUCGUGGUGUUGUAGGCGGCGGCACUUGCUAGCCGGGCUGUGCAUGACAGAGUUUUGCAAUGAUGGAGGUGUUUUGGACUUUUCUGCCCGAUUCUAUCUCUGUUGUCGUUGCUCUGUUGUGUAUGUCCAAUACAUUUGUCGUCUAUAGUCUGUGGCGUAGUGGUAGACGAUCCACCCGACCCGUCUUGAAACACGGACCAAGGAGUUUAACAUGUGCGCAAGUCAAUGGGUGUGGAAAUCACAAGUACACGAAACCCAGAGGCGCAGUGAAAGUGAAGGUGUUGGCUUUUCUGCUGGCUGAUUACUUUCUGAUCGUUCUGCUUCUGUCACGUUGCAGUUGAUCGUCUCUACCAUAUGACAUCAUUCGUCACGCAUCUAUCUGUUCGUACGUUCGUACGUGCCUGGCCGUUUUAACGGAUCUGUCCACCGUGCAUCUGCUAUGUGGCUGGUUAGUGGACGGUCAGGUCGGACGACGGACGGCUGGUAUUUGUAAUGUUCGUCUGGUAGAUUGUGAUAGAUUUGGUUGACAGUAAACGUGCAGGCCGGCGGGCGGUCGAGAGGACAGUUAGCGGGCCAGACUGAGGUGAGAUCCCGUCGGCACCUGAGCUGACCUGAUCAUGCAUUGGACCGAUGGGCGCAUCACCGGCCCGUCCCAUGGUGUGCUACACCGGGGCGGAGCAAGAGCGUACAUGUUGAGACCCGAAAGAUGGUGAACUAUGCUUGCGCAGGUUGAAGCCGGAGGAAACUCUGGUGGAGGACCGUAGCGAUUCUGACGUGCAAAUCGAUCGUAUGACGUGAGUAUAGGGGCGAAAGACUAAUCGAACCAUCUAGUAGCUGGUU